rnacentral:rRNA from 1 species
UACGUAGGGGGCAAGCGUUGUCCGGAAUCAUUGGGCGUAAAGCGCGUGUAGGCGGCUUGGUAAGUCUGCUCUGAAAGCCCGGGGCUCAACCCCGGGAGGCGGGUGGAUACUGCCGAGCUCGAGUCCGGAAGAGGCGAGUGGAAUUCCUGGUGUAGCGGUGAAAUGCGCAGAUAUCAGGAGGAACACCGAUAGCGAAGGCAGCUUACUACAUGAAGAUUGACGCUGAGGCACGAAAGCGUGGGGAGCAAACAGG